rnacentral:rRNA from 1 species
CCACCUUGAAUGCACCCAGUCUCAUCUGAUCUCAAAAGCUAAUCAGGGUCAGGCUUGGUUAGUAUUUGGAUGGGAGCAAAAGAUAUGU